rnacentral:tRNA from 1 species
GCCGGGGUGGCGGAACUGGCAGACGCACAGGACUUAAAAUCCUGGGGUGGGUUACCACCGUACGGGUUCGAUUCCCGUCCUCGGCACCA